CCAGUCAGGACACAGCAUGGAUAGGAGGGCCCCCGCUCAGCUCCUUGGGCUCCUGCUGCUCUGGCUCCCAGGUGCCAGAUGUGACAUCCAGAUGACCCAGUCUCCAUCCUCCUUGUCUGCAUUUCUAGGAGACACAGUCACCAUCACUUGCCAGGCCAGUCAGGGUAUUAGCAAGUGGUUAGCUUGGUAUCAGCAGAAACCAGGUAAAGCUCCUAAACUCUUGAUCUAUGAUGCAUCAAGUUUGGAAAGUGGGGUCCCCUCGAGGUUCAGUGGCAGUGGAUCUGGGACAGAUUUUACUCUUACCAUCAGCAGCCUGGAGUCUGAUGAUUUUGGAACCUAUUACUGUCAACAGUAUAAUAGUAACCCUCCCACAGUGUUACAAUCCCGAACAUAA